rnacentral:tRNA from 1 species
GGACGUUUAGCUCAGUUGGUUAGAGCAUCCGGCUCAUAACCGGACGGUCCCGGGUUCGAGUCCCCGAACGUCCACUA